rnacentral:lncRNA from 10 species
GAGGAAAGCCCAGCGACGCCGGGCCAGCGCAUUCUUAUUUUAUGUAUGAGCAAACUAUGGAAUGGAAAAGAGAUUAUGAGUUAUUACUUGAUUUGAUUUGCCCUAAGUGUUUUUUAAACGUAUGGAUUUAGCGCCAACAUUUAAAAAGAAGGUAUAUUUUAAUUAAAAAUCAGGAAUUGAUUUAAUUUAAAAUUUGGCUCCUCUUACAGGAAGAUCUGGCAAGAGUUAGCGUGCAGUUCUACAUUGUGACAAUUCAUGAGAGCUAAGGACUGGCUGUCUCUUGGGACAAAUAGGCUUUCUUGAGUCUGAUGCCCUGGAAUACACUUGUGUCAGUGACAAAUGCUGCUUUGCUGUGCUACACCGAGUACAAGGUCGUGUCCAGUGAUUCAAGUUUGACACACCACACCACGGUGGAUGUGCCUUUCAUGACGCAUCUUCUCAGCAGCACUAGAAGAUACAUCCAAAGUCCUGUGAGCAAGGUCUGUGGUAUCUGUUUAUUAUGGCAGCCCAGUGAGACUAAGACAGGCCAUCAAAAGACGUGAACGUUUUGGACCUUCUCUUGGGCCCUAGUAAACAGAAAUCAGGCUACUUAUUAAACUAAACCACGUUCUGAACUGUUACUGCUACUGGAAACCAGUCCCGAUCCAGACCCCAAAAGAGGAUUCUUGGAUCUUGCACAAGAAAGAAAGGAGAGGGACCUGUAGUCAUUACCUUCAAGGAACCUAAAUCCUGGUGUCUUUAUGGUUAUGGGUGGCAUAUAAUAUACAGACACAGUGAAGGAGUGAGAUGUGAAGGUGCUCUGUCAUUGCCUCAGUCAAGACUUUCAUGGUACAUUGGAAGAAAGAGAAGCGUGAACAAAUUGCAUGAUACUUGAGGUCAUGCUGUGUACCUGUAUUGAACAAGAAUAAGGGAAGAAAGCUGGGAACCUGGAUCUCCCAUAUAUUGGAAGUUUUGUAAAAACCUUGAGGGUCCCUUCCACUACAUAUGGGGAU